GUCUGUUAGUUUGCGAAACCUUUUUGACAGGUAUGGAAGAGUGUAAACAAGAAAUAUCGAAGAAUUGUAAUUCUUUAUAAAUAUUAAUGUAAAAAACAUAAUGGAGCAAAAAUAAAAUUAUAUUAAAAUGACGCAAAUAAGUGGAAACGUGGAGUGCAUGGAGAUAAACGAAAUAAAAAAAUAAUUUUUACGAAUAUGUGAAUAUAAAUUAAAAUCAUUUUGGCAACAUCGUUAAAUAUGGAAUGAAGUCUGUGCAAGAUUAAAGACAAGUUUACACAAGUUUACACAAGGAAAAUAGCAGAAUAAAUAAAUGGAUAAUAAACAAAUAUCAGAUAAGUAGUUAAAAUUUAUAUAUAUAUAUAUAUGUAUACAUAUAAUAAAAGUAUAUUAUCUACAUAUUGUCUGACUGUGAAUAUUGUUGGACCGAUUCUUUCCUUUAAUUCAUUUUCUUGUUUCAGCUUCGCAGCAAACCAUGUGCUUGCAGAACGUUUAUAGUCAGAGAACAAUCUCCUGCAGGAUAAAAUUGCCAAAGUGUGAGCCUUGAUGUACAUCAUUCAUGCAUCAUAGUUCUUUGCACCAGAAUCAAUUGUCACAUGUGGAAUAAAGUCUAUACAACAUAAAACAAGGAACACAAAGAACCUCCCAGUUAACCAUGUGCUGGUCAAAAACACUUGAAAUUAUAUCUAACAUGGAAUAUAAGAGUAUAUCUGUUACCAGCAGUGCAGCGACAGAUUGAUGUAACAAACCAAGAGCAGAAAUGGAGAACGUUUCUCAAACAUCGAGGAUCAAUCCUGUAGCAUUACUUUAGCAAGAUGAAAAAUCAUAUAUUGGAAAUUGAAAAUGCAACAGCCGUGACAAAUCAAGGAGUAACAAAUAUAUAAAUAUAUAAACACUAAGAAAUAUCAAAAGAAGAAUAGGAGAUUGUUCUCUGACUAUAAACGUUCUGCAAGCACAUGGUUUGCUGCGAAGCUGAAACAAGAAAAUGAAUUAAAGGAAAGAAUCGGUCUAAUAAUAUCCGCAGUCACAGACAAUAUGUAGAUAAUUAAUCUUUUAUUAUAUGUAUACAUACCCAGUAAGCAAUCUGCGCGCAGACUGACGUCAGACUGUCGACAGGAUCUGUCGAAUCCGAGCAGGAUCUGUCGACAGAUCCAUAGACAU